UUCACACUGACACGUAGCAUCAGUGACUGUUCAGUCUGUUGCAAUGAUGACUUGUGAAAAAUCAUCAACUCUUUACAUAAAUACAGUUUCUCUUUUUUUCAAAAUACAUAGCGUUCACAUUUGUAUUCCUAGGCAUUACUAAUCAAGCUCCGCACAACCAGAUAUCAAUGAAGCACACAGAUGAUUGUAUUAUCACAUUCGCAUUAAUUAUUAGAAAAUGACUUACAAUUUUGUAUAAUCAGUGGUAAAUAGUGUUAAAAGGUGGGUGAUGGGUAAACUUCAGUAGAAGGAACAACCACUGGUAGAAAGGAAAAUGUAGGACAUUUUUAAAACUGUAUUGUUUGCAUGUUGAUAGCAUUUUAAUGUCGGCCUAUAGGGAAGAUGGGCCAUGUGAAAAUAUUGAAACAUAUCAUAUUUUUAAAAGUUCCUAACUUGUUUGAUAUCAUUAGUACAGCUUUUCUCAGGGGACCCCACAUUGGGCCCUGACCCCAGGUUUGGCAACCACUGGACUAAUCUCUCUCUGCUUGCUUCUCUACUUGCUUCCUCUGUCUGUCUUCUCUGCUUCCUCCUGCAUGCAUCAAGAAAAAAUGUGUGCCUGAAAAACACCAAAAUUAACUAAGACGUCACAAAAUGGCAUCAUAAUAUAGGCACAAACUCUUCCCGAACUGUUCCGGUUGGGAAGCAUGCGGACGCUUUCAGCUGCUUUAGAGAGUGGGGAAUGUGCUGCAAAUCCGGCACACAAGUCCAAGGGACGCAGGCGAUCAUAACGAACAAGCCACUGUCCAUGAUUCCACUCGUUCAGAGAGACGCAGGUGAACAUAACGAACAAACCACUGUCCAUGAUUCCACUCGUUCAGAGACGCAGGUGAACAUAACGAACAAACCACUGUCCAUGAUUCCACUCGUUCAGAGACGCAGGUGAACAUAACGAACAAACCACUGUCCAUGAUUCCACUCGUUCAGAGACGCAGGUGAACAUAACGAACAAACCACUGUCCAUGAUUCCACUCGUUCAGAGACGCAGGUGAACAUAACGAACAAACCACUGUCCAUGAUUCCACUCGUUCAGAGACGCAGGUGAACAUAACGAACAAACCACUGUCCAUGAUUCCACUCGUUCAGAGACGCAGGUGAACAUAACGAACAAACCACUGUCCAUGAUUCCACUCGUUCAGAGAGGCAGGUGAACAUAACGAACAAACCACUGUCCAUGAUUCCACUCGUUCAGAGACGCAGGUGAACAUAACGAACAAACCACUGUCCAUGAUUCCACUCGUUCAGAGAGACGCAGGUGAACAUAACGAACAAACCACUGUCCAUGAUUCCACUCGUUCAGAGACGCAGGUGAACAUAACGAACAAACCACUGUCCAUGAUUCCACUCGUUCAGAGACGCAGGUGAACAUAACGAACAAACCACUGUCCAUGAUUCCACUCGUUCAGAGAGGCAGGUGAACAUAACGAACAAACCACUGUCCAUGAUUCCACUCGUUCAGAGACGCAGGUGAACAUAACGAACAAACCACUGUCCAUGAUUCCACUCGUUCAGAGAGGCAGGUGAACAUAACGAACAAACCACUGUCCAUGAUUCCACUCGUUCAGAGACGCAGGUGAACAUAACGAACAAACCACUGUCCAUGAUUCCACUCGUUCAGAGAGACGCAGGUGAACAUAACGAACAAACCACUGUCCAUGAUUCCACUCGUUCAGAGACGCAGGUGAACAUAACGAACAAACCACUGUCCAUGAUUCCACUCGUUCAGAGACGCAGGUGAACAUAACGAACAAACCACUGUCCAUGAUUCCACUCGUUCAGAGACGCAGGUGAACAUAACGAACAAACCACUGUCCAUGAUUCCACUCGUUCAGAGACGCAGGUGAACAUAACGAACAAACCACUGUCCAUGAUUCCACUCGUUCAGAGAGACGCAGGUGAACAUAACGAACAAACCACUGUCCAUGAUUCCACUCGUUCAGAGACGCAGGUGAACAUAACGAACAAACCACUGUCCAUGAUUCCACUCGUUCAGAGAGACGCAGGUGAACAUAACGAACAAACCACUGUCCAUGAUUCCACUCGUUCAGAGACGCAGGUGAACAUAACGAACAAACCACUGUCCAUGAUUCCACUCGUUCAGAGACGCAGGUGAACAUAACGAACAAACCACUGUCCAUGAUUCCACUCGUUCAGAGAGACGCAGGUGAACAUAACGAACAAACCACUGUCCAUGAUUCCACUCGUUCAGAGAGAGGCAGGCAUGUUUAGAACUCAAUCAGAUCAAUCAUUUAAGUGUUCUGAGCUUUGAUCAACACUGAGAUAAAUAUUUACAUGUUCACCUAUAAUUGUCUUAAUUUAUUUUGAACAAAAUCUAUUUUUUUAUAAUGUUUUUAUAAUUAUAAAAAAAUUGACCGAGGUCUGGACCUCUGUGUCCUCAUGUGUAUUUAUGGCCCUGGUUGCUAUCACCAUGCUCUAAACUAACAGCUAACCCCAUUGGAAUCAUAAUUUAUGCAGGAAUUCUAGUGUUGCUGCUAUGUGGACUUGGCGGAAAAUGUAGUCUAGCUAUGCAAAUAAAAACGUUCCUUCGGGUUAUCUGCUAAGGAGCGUUCAGCUAAAAGGCUGUGGUACACUGAGUGACACGUCAAAAUGAAGAAUUUUGGCACUUUAGCAAGCCUUUUUCAUAGUCAAAAUUAGACUGAUUUUAAUUAUCCGUGUGUUCUAUAUUAAAGGGCACUUUAUUUAACAUAACAAGCUUUUAAAAAGCAAUAUUUGUGAACAAUUUCUGCUUAAAAUAUCAGAGACACACACACAUACACACACACACACAAAAGGCACUCAUUUUGUAGAACGGCACCUUUACAGUCUUCGUGUCAAGUCCAAAGCUGAAUAGUUGUCUUCACCUUGUCUACCACCUAUAAAACCGCGUCUACCACCUAUAAAAACUUUGCCAUUACUUUAUGCCAUUUUACGAUGCCAUCUUGAAAACGUUGUAGGCCCUACCCAGGGUUGGGAGGAUGAUUUACAGUUACUGAUUACAUGACAAUAAAACGAGUUAGUCAUGUAAUCCAAUGGAUUAGUCACAUUGUGAGUAACAGUUUGAUUACUGCCUUGGUUAGCCCACAUCUGCCUCCUUAUUUAUGCUGUAGACCACAGGAGGUUGGUGGCACCUUAAUUAAGGGAGGACGGGGCUCGUGGUAAUGGCUGGAGUGGAAUGGUAUCAAAUGCAUCAAAACGCAUGCCAUUCCAUUUGCUCUGUUCCAGCCAUUACGAUGAGUCGUCCUCCCCUCGGCAGCCUCCACUGCACACCAGCAUCUGUGGGUAGUUGCUUUGCUCAGCUGCCUGCUGCAUCUUAUUGAUGUGAUGCCUUCACUGCUAAAAAGGUCCAGGGAAAGCAUCUCCAACCCUCGUUCUUUGAUUAUGCAAUCGUUGGCCUACUCCACAACAGCCACCCAGCAGAUUGUGACCCAUAAAUGAUGACAUGGUCUGACUCACCCAACAGUCUGCUGUGAUAAAGACUUCAAUUGGACAUAUGUAAUAGGUCAAAGACAAAAUGUGAUUUAGUUCAUGAGUUGAAUGACCUCUGAUUUGAGUCUACUCCUUUCCACUGACACUGGAGGUAUAGCUGAGUAAGCAACCGAUUUGACACGUCAUCCCAGUACACAGCAUGGAGCUGUAUUUACUAAUAAAACCUGUUCCUUUUGACACACAAAUCCUGAUGAAAUGUGGGAUGAUUCAACUUCUCAGUAGGGUUGCAAAGCUACUGGUAGUGACCAAGGUUACCGGAACCUUCAGUAAUUUCGGUAAUUUAUAGUCUAAUAACUUUUACAAAAUGUAUUUGUGUAUAUAGUCACAUCUACUGUAUGUUAGGUUUUGAUUAGCCAAUGCAGGUUAAAGUGAGUUCUUCCACUAUUUAAAAAAAAAAAAAAUUAAUAAAAAAAAAAAUAUAUAUUAUAUAUCCAUAUUCUGAAUGACAUUUGGGACCUCAGCUAGAUGGUAACCUGUCUACAGGUUCUAUCUCGUGGGUUACGGCUACCCCAGCUGACGUGUUUCUGUCUACAGGUUCUAUCUCGUGGGUUACGGCUACCCCAGCUGACGUGUUUCUGUCUACAGGUUCUAUCUCGUGGGUUACGGCUACCCCAGCUGACGUGUUUCUGUCUACAGGUUCUAUCUCGUGGGUCACGGCUACUCCAGCAGACGUGUUUCUGUCUACAGGUUCUAUCUCGUGGGUUACGGCUACUCCAGCUGACGUGUUUCUGUCUACAGGUUCUAUCUCGUGGGUCACGGCUACUCCAGCUGACGUGUUUCUGUCUACAGGUUCUAUCUCGUGGGUCACGGCUACCCCAGCUGACGUGUUUCUGUCUACAGGUUCUAUCUCGUGGGUCACGGCUACCCCAGCUGACGUGUUUCUGUCUACAGGUUCUAUCUCGUGGGUCACGGCUACUCCAGCUGACGUGUUUCUGUCUACAGGUUCUAUCUCGUGGGUCACGGCUACUCCAGCUGACGUGUUUCUGUCUACAGGUUCUAUCUCUUGGGUCACGGCUACUCCAGCUGACGUGGUGAAGAGCAGACUACAGGCUGACGCUCUCCACGCUAGGAAAUACAGAGGGAUUGUCCACUGCAUCGUCCAGAGCUACAAGACCGAGGGGAUACAUGUCUUCUUCCGCGGAGCCUCAGUGAACGCUAUCCGAGGCUUCCCAAUGAGUGCCACCAUGUUUCUGGGCUAUGAACUCUCUCUGCAGUUCUUCAGGGGUCUCUAGUGUCUACACCAGGAAUAUGAUACAGUGCAGUAUGUCCACUGAAUGACACGUUAUCUUGACAGCUAUCCUCUUGUCCUUGAACGCCCCCCAAAGGCUUUCACCUGGAAGAUCAUUUAAAUCCUUGCAAAAAGAAAGUGGGGAGCAACUUGACUUGACAUUUUCUAGUUUGAGAAUUAUCUCCACUAUUGCCAUAAUACAAUGUAUUUGUAAAGUGUAAAUACAAAUUUCUUAUGUUAAGAAAAUCUCUUAUUAAAAAUGCCAUACAUGAAUUCACAAAGGCAUACAUUUGAAAUAUGUUGUGCUAUAAUACAGACUAACCGUAUGUUUCAUGUUUUUAGCUGUACUGCAUAAAUUAACUAGUUAUUAGUACCCAACAGUUAACCAGUUCUAACCUCAGCAAUGAGGCGCACAUUAAUCAAUAUAUUAUAUGUUGGUGCCAGGCUUUUAAGUUUUUUUUUUUUUUUAAGUGUUUUAUCUUUGUAAAUAAGUAUAAGAGAAAUUAAAUGUAAUUUCACAAGGAGGGGUAGUUUUUUUUUUUUUUUUUUUUGCAUAAUUUGUAUUUAAGGUUAUUUUAAUGUGAGUUUAUUUUGAAUUCUUGUUUAGACUGUUUCUGUACAGUUUUACUUGGAAAACCUAAUAAACGUAUUGUUCAAAUCUAGUAAUGGUAUUCUUCUUUAAAAUUCUCUCUAAAGGUCAGAGU